CUAGGUACUUGGCUAUUAUAUCUUCUUUUUUAAUCUAAUCUUCUGAGUGAGCUGUAAAAACACUAUUAGCUUUAGUAUACUGACCUGGUAUUCAGCCAUAUUGCUAAAUUCUCUUAAUAUUUCUAGUCAUUUAUCUGUAGACUUUUUUUUUUUUUGGUUAGUCUACACUUCUCUCUUUGUUUAAGGAAAACGAAACACUCUUUGUUUAAACUACUGUUGGUCAGCUUCUCUCUGGGAGAACACAAUGCUAACAGAGACAACAGUGCACAUCUAGUUUCCAUUACCACUGAAAGCAGACCCAGAGUAAACACGGUUAUUCUUCAGCAGGGAAACGUUAGCUUGUAUGUAAUUUGUGGGGAAAAUGGAAGGACAAAAGGAGAGAUGAGAUGGUGAGUAGGAGGAGUCUUCAGAAGGGUUUGCUGCUGCUGAAAAAGUGGGGCAGGCCAACAAAACUUCUUCUUCAUCCAAAGCACUAAAUAAAGUAUCAUUGUGUUCUGAAACGAUUCUUGUGGACGAGGGGUGAAGACAUCUGGAUGUGAGUCCUCUUUGGAGCUUGAAGUUACUUCUACCAGAGCUUUUUCAGCAUGUGUGACAGACGCAGGCCUGGUGAG